rnacentral:rRNA from 1 species
UUACCAAAAACAUAGCCCUAGUUAUAAUCUAAGGUGUAACCUGCCCAAUGAUUUUCAAUUAAAAAAGUUUAAAUUAUUUUUAAGAAAAUUUAAAGGACGCGGUAACCUUGACCGUGAUAAUGUAGCGUAAUCACUCGCCAUUUAAUUGAUGGAUAGUAUGAAUGGUUGAACGAAUAUUCCACUGUCUUAAAUAAAGAUAAUAAAAAUUGAAGUAAUAGUAAAGAUGCUAUUUUAAACUGUAAGACGAAAAGACCCUAUAGAGCUUAACUAUAAUCUUUUUAUAUAAUAAUAAAAGUAUUUAUUUAGAAUAAAAAGAAUGGUAGUUUAGUUGGGGCGACUAUCUUCUAGAUUUAACGAAGAUAAGCAAUAUUAAUUUAUAAUUUAUUGUAUAACAAAAAAGUUUAACAAUUACAAUAGUAGGCUAUAAUGACCCGUUUGUGCUUAAAAAUAAGAGAAACGAUCAAUUAAUAAAAGCUACCUUAGGGAUAACAGGAUAAUUUCAUUCUAGAGCUCUAAUCGAAAAUGAAGUUUGUCACCUCUAUGUUGAAUUAAGAUAUCCUGGUAAUGCAGAAGUUACCAAAGGUAGGUCUGUUCGACCUUUAAAAUCUUACAUGAUUUGAGU